rnacentral:lncRNA from 1 species
UCUAUCUACCUAUUCCUUUUGCUCAUCUAUUUUAUUAUCAUCAUCUGCUUUUUGUCAAAUAUUUGUUUCUGUUUUCUCUUUCAAGGAAAAAGGAAUAUAUGUAUGUUGCAGGAGGCAGAGAGAGCUGUGGGUAGUGAAGGAGAGGAGGAGGAGUAUAUUAAAAGACAGACACUCUAACCUCCCCUCCCUCCCUUUCUCUCAAUCUCAAUUAUUUCCUUCCAGACACAGCACAGCACAAACCAGAAGAGAAGGGGGUUCGGCUCCAUCCGCGAAAAGCUGCUCCUCCGGAGGCUGAGUUGGCCCCUGCGCUUUCCGUUAUUCGCAUUUCACCCCUCGGAGUUUUACACUUGGGUACCCAUGCUCCGUAAAAACUAAUCACAAUCCAGUCCACUCCCUUCCCUCGGUCGCCGGCCAUGCCCACUCCGGUGCCCGCCGCCCGCCAGUGCCUCUCGCCGCCCGCCGUCACCGCCCCUGAC